rnacentral:ribozyme from 1 species
CGGUUACCUGAUCGCCCGCCAGGCGGACAUCUCGG